rnacentral:lncRNA from 1 species
CUCCUCUCUCCUCCCUCCUCUGCGAAGGGGACUGGCCUCAUCUUCACUCACUUGGAUCUCAGCCCUGUACUGAAAAUGCUGUGGCCCCAACAGAACUUUCCAUAAUCACCCACUGACUGUGUGGUAUGGACCAAUCACGUGUAAUGCAAAAAUUCCUGUCAUGGGAAACAGACCCAAAGACAAGAAAGCUGAGGCCAGCAGCCCUCGCCGAUGCCCCGCAUCGUGCCCUCCGUGCUCUCGAGCCUCCCCAGCCUGGAAGCGGCCCCAGCGGCCCCCUCACCCAUGGAGGCCUGGGGACGCCGCCCACCCCCCGCCGACCCCGCGUGUCCUGCCGCACAGACCCCACCUGCAC